UGCGCAGGCGGGCUAUUAAGUCAGUGGUGAAAUCUCUCGGCUCAACCGAGAAACUGCCAUUGAAACUGAUAGUCUUGAGUAUGGUUGUGGUAGGCGGAAUAUAGCAUGUAGCGGUGAAGUGCUUAGAUAUGCUAUAGAACACCGAUCGCGAAGGCAGCUUACCAAGCCAUUACUGACGCUCAUGCACGAAAGCGUGGGGAGCAAACAGGAUUAGAUACCCUGGUAGUCC
rnacentral:rRNA from 1 species